CGGUGAAAUGCGCAGAGAUAUGGAGGAACACCAGUGGCGAAGGCGACUUUCUGGUCUGUAACUGACGCUGAUGUGCGAAAGCGUGGGGAUCAAACAGGAUUAGAUACCCUGGUAGUCCACGCCGUAAACGAUGAGUGCUAAGUGUUAGGGGGUUUCCGCCCCUUAGUGCUGCAGAUAACGCAUUAAGCACUCCGCCUGGGGAGUACGACCGCAAGGUUGAAACUCAAAGGAAUUGACGGGGACCCGCACAAGCGGUGGAGCAUGUGGUUUAAUUUGAAGCAACGCGAAGAACCUUACCAAAUCUUGACAUCCUUUGACCACUCUAGAGAUAGAGUUUUCCCCUUCGGGGGACAAAGUGACAGGUGGUGCAUGGUUGUCGUCAGCUCGUGUCGUGAGAUGUUGGGUUAAGUCCCGCAACGAGCGCAACCCUUAAGCUUAGUUGCCAUCAUUAAGUUGGGCACUCUAGGUUGACUGCCGGUGACAAACCGGAGGAAGGUGGGGAGGACGUCAAAUCAUCAUGCCCCCUAUGAUUUGGGGUACACACGUGCUACAAUGGACAAUACAAAGGGCAGAUAAACCGCGAGGUCACGCAAAUCCCAUAAAGUUGUUCUCAGUUUGGAUUGUAGUCUGCAACUCGAGUACAUGAAGCUGGAAUCGCUAGUAAUCGUAGAUCAGCAUGCUACGGUGAAUACGUUCCCGGGU
rnacentral:rRNA from 1 species